rnacentral:rRNA from 1 species
GGAGGAAGGUGGGGAUGACGUCAAGUCAUCAUGGCCCUUACGGCCAGGGCUACACACGUGCUACAAUGGUCGGUACAGAGGGUUGCCAAGCCGCGAGGUGGAGCUAAUCCCAUAAAACCGAUCGUAGUCCGGAUUGGAGUCUGCAACUCGACUCCAUGAAGUCGGAAUCGCUAGUAAUCGUGGAUCAGAAUGCCACGGUGAAUACGUUCCCGGGCCUUGUACACACCGCCCGU